GACGAACGCUGGCGGCGUGCUUAACACAUGCAAGUCGAACGGAAAGGCCCUGCUUGCAGGGUGCUCGAGUGGCGAACGGGUGAGUAACACGUGGGUGAUCUGCCCCUUAUUUUGGGAUAAGCCUGGGAAACUGGGUCUAAUACUGGCUAGGACCAUGCUGUAGGUGGUGUGGUGGAAAGAUUAGUUUCGGUAAGGGAUGAGCUCGCGGCCUAUCAGCUUGUUGGUGGGGUAAUGGCCUACCAAGGCGUCGACGGGUAGCCGGCCUGAGUGGGUGGACGGCCACAUUGGGACUGAGAUACGGCCCAGAAUCCUACGGGAGGCAGCAGUGGGGGAUAGUGCACAGUGGGCGCAAGCCGGAUGCAGCGACGCCGCGUGGGGGAUGACGGCCUUCGGGUUGUAAACUCCUUUCAGCCAUGACGAAGCCCUUGUGGUGACGGUAGUGGUAGAAGAAGCACCGGCUAACUACGUG
rnacentral:rRNA from 1 species